rnacentral:rRNA from 1 species
GACGAACGCUGGCGGCGUGCCUAAUACAUGCAAGUUGAGCGCUGAAGGUUGGUACUUGUACCAACUGGAUGAGCAGCGAACGGGUGGGUAACGCGUGGGGAAUCUGCCUUUGAGCGGGGGACAACAUUUGGAAACGAAUGCUAAUACCGCAUAAAAACUUUAAACACAAGUUUUAAGUUUGAAAGAUGCAAUUGCAUCACUCAAAGAUGAUCCCGCGUUGUAUUAGCUAGUUGGUGAGGUAAAGGCUCACCAAGGCGAUGAUACAUAGCCGACCUGAGAGGGUGAUCGGCCACAUUGGGACUGAGACACGGCCCAACCUCCUACGGGAGGCAGCAGUAGGGAAUCUUCGGCAAUGGACGAAAGUCUGACCGAGCAACGCCGCGUGAGUGAAGAAGGUUUUCGGAUCGUAAAACUCUGUUGGUAGAGAAGAACGUUGGUGAGAGUGGAAAGCUCAUCAAGUGACGGUAACUACCCAGAAAGGGACGGCUAACUACGUG